CUACGGGUUGCUGCAGUGGGGAAUAUUGCACAAUGGAGGAAACUCUGAUGCAGCAACGCCGCGUGGAGGAUGAAACUUUUCGGAGCGGGAAGAGAGGGGAGAGAGGAAGCAGAAGACGGGAGGAGAAGAAUAAGUGCCGGCUAACUGAGGGCGAGUAGCCGCGGUAAUACGGAGGGCGCAAGCGUUACUCAGAAUCACUGGGCGUAAAGAGCGUGUAGGCGGAUUAAAAAGUCAGAAGUGAAAUCCUAUAGCUUAACUAUAGAACUGCUUCUGAAACUCUUAAUCUAGAAUAUGGGAGAGGUAGAUGGAAUUUCUGGUGUAGGGGUAAAAUCCGUAGAGAUCAGAAGGAAUACCGAUUGCGAAGGCGAUCUACUAGAACAUUAUUGACGCUGAGACGCGAAAGCGUGGGGAGCAAACAGGAUUAGAUACCCCGGUAGUC
rnacentral:rRNA from 1 species